GCCGGGCAUGGUGGCGCAUGCCUGUAAUCCCAGCUACUGGGGAGGCUGAAGCAGGAGAAUUGCUUGAGCCCGGGAGAUGGAGGUUGCAGUGAGCUGAGAUUGUGCCACUGCACUCCAGUCUGGGUGACAAAGCAAGACUCUGUCUCAA
rnacentral:SRP_RNA from 1 species